AAUAUUCUCGAACUGGGACAUGGUGGUGGACGACAAUGUUAGGAAAUAUGAAGAUGUCAUUGGGGGCUUGGGAAGAGUUAUCUUUUAUUUUUAACAACUUUCCCACCCUGAAAUUGGUUCAACCAGAGAUAGGGUCCAACAUAUGGAAGAGCGCCACAUGUCUUGUAGUGUUUGGUGCCCCCUCGGCAGCCAUUGAAAAUAUGGAAAACCGAGUACCAUCCAUGCUCGAUCGUACUCAUAUCUGCCUCCUUGGAUUUUUCAAUGCCC
rnacentral:ncRNA from 1 species